rnacentral:rRNA from 1 species
UAACACGGUGGGCAAUCUGCCCUGCACUCUGGGACAAGCCCUGGAAACGGGGUCUAAUACCGGAUAUGACACACGACCGCAUGGUCUGUGUGUGGAAAGCUCCGGCGGUGCAGGAUGAGCCCGCGGCCUAUCAGCUUGUUGGUGGGGUGAUGGCCUACCAAGGCGACGACGGGUAGCCGGCCUGAGAGGGCGACCGGCCACACUGGGACUGAGACACGGCCCAGACUCCUACGGGAGGCAGCAGUGGGGAAUAUUGCACAAUGGGCGAAAGCCUGAUGCAGCGACGCCGCGUGAGGGAUGACGGCCUUCGGGUUGUAAACCUCUUUCAGCAGGGAAGAAACGCAAGUGACGGUACCUGCA